UCUGGCUUCCUGUCUCCUGCGGUGGUUGCUUCUGUACCUAUUCCCAGCAUGCCGAAGCUGCCUUAGUUACUGUUCUACCGCUGUGAGGAGACACCACCACCACGGCAACUCAAAGAAGAAAGAGUUUAUUUGAGGCUUACAGUUUUAGACAGUGAGUCCGUGGAGUCUAUGACCCUCACGCAGGGAGCAUGGUGGCAGGCUGGCAGAUGUGGCAGUGAAGCACCCCUGAGACCUUGAGGGGCUUUACAUCUAGAGACACACUGUGGUCAUUUGAAUGAAGCUGGCCCCCAAAAGCUCAUGAGGAAUGGCACUAUUAGGAGGUGUGGCCUUGUUGGAGGAAGUGUGUCACUUUGCGGUUGGGCUUUGAGGUCUCAUGUAUGCUCAAGCCACACCCAGUGUCUCAGAUCAUUUCCUGUUGCCUGCAGGCCAAGGACUCUCAGCUCCUUUUCUAGCACUAUGUCCGUCUGCAUGUCACCAUGUUGCACCAUGAAGAUAAUGGACUAAACCUCUGAAAAUGAAUGUGGGUAAAUUACUAUCAGUACGGUGAAGAGCUUUUGUGCAAGCUGUGCUGACCUUCAGGCCGCUCCUGAGCGUGUUGGAUCCUGUCUUAAGUUUGAGGAAGCCUGAGUGAGCACAGGUCCAGCCUUCAGUUUGUCCACUCCUCUCCAGUGGAUGCCCAGGGUUCCUGCUUUGCUGCAUAUGGCAUUUUCCAGUGAAUUUGGGGGCUCUUGAUAAUGCCAGAAACACAAAGUUCUUGUUUUAAAAUAAUACUGUGUAAAUACGUCAAAUGUUAA